rnacentral:rRNA from 1 species
UGAGUNGAGUUGUUUGGGAAUGCUGCUCAAAAUGGGAGGUAAACCCCUUCUAAAGCUAAAUAUUGGCCAGAGACCGAUAGCGCACAAGUAGAGUGAUCGAAAGAUGAAAAGCACUUUGAAAAGAGAGUUAAACAGCACGUGAAAUUGUUGAAAGGGAAGCGCUUGCGACCAGACUUGCGCCCGUCGGAUCAACCGUCCCUCGUGGGCGGCGCACUCCGGCGGGCUCAGGCCAGCAUCAGUUUUCCUGGGGGGAGAAAGGCGGUGGGAAUGUANCUCUUCGGAGUGUUAUAGCCCGCCGCGUAAUACCCCCGGGGGGACUGAGGACCGCGCGAAAGCAAGGAUGCUGGCGUAAUGGUCGUCAGCGACCCGUCUUGAAACAC